UACGUAGGGUGCAAGCGUUGUCCGGAAUUAUUGGGCGUAAAGAGCUCGUAGGCGGUUUGUUGCGUCGGCUGUGAAAUCCCGAGGCUCAACCUCGGGUCUGCAGUCGAUACGAGCAAACUAGAGUGUUGCAGGGGAGACUGGGAAUUCCUGGUGUAGCGGUGAAAUGCGCAGAUAUCAGGAGGAACACCGGUGGCGAAGGCGGGUCUCUGGGCAACAACUGACGCUGAGGAGCGAAAGCGUGGGGGAGCGAACAGG
rnacentral:rRNA from 1 species